rnacentral:rRNA from 1 species
UACAGAGGGGGCAAGCGUUAUUCGGAAUUAUUGGGCGUAAAGGGCACGUAGGCGGCCUGACAAGUGGAUGGUGAAAUCCCUCGGCUUAACCGAGGAACUGCCAUCCAGACUGUUUGGCUUGAGACCGGGAGAGGUGAGUGGAAUUCCCAGUGUAGCGGUGAAAUGCGUAGAUAUUGGGAGGAACACCAGUGGCGAAGGCGGCUCACUGGACCGGUACUGACGCUGAUGCGCGAAAGCGUGGGGAGCAAACGGG